CAUGACGUAGCUUAUUAAAAGCAUCUGGCCUACACCCAGAAGACUCCACAACCAAUGGACAUCAUGA
rnacentral:tRNA from 1 species